rnacentral:rRNA from 1 species
AUUGAACGCUGGCGGCAGGCCUAACACAUGCAAGUCGAACGGUAACAGAAAGCAGCUUGCUGCUUUGCUGACGAGUGGCGGACGGGUGAGUAAUGUCUGGGAAACUGCCUGAUGGAGGGGGAUAACUACUGGAAACGGUAGCUAAUACCGCAUAACGUCGCAAGACCAAAGAGGGGGACCUUCGGGCCUCUUGCCAUCGGAUGUGCCCAGAUGGGAUUAGCUUGUUGGUGGGGUAACGGCUCACCAAGGCGACGAUCCCUAGCUGGUCUGAGAGAAUGGCCAGCCACACUGGAACUGAGACACGGUCCAGACUCCUACGGGAGGCAGCAGUGGGGAAUAUUGCACAAUGGGCGCAAGCCUGAUGCAGCCAUGCCGCGUGUAUGAAGAAGGCCUUCGGGUUGUAAAGUACUUUCAGCGGGGAGGAAGGGAGUAAAGUUAAUACCUUUGCUCAUUGACGUUACCCGCAGAAGAAGCACCGGCUAACUCCGUGCCAGCCGCCGCGGUAA